rnacentral:rRNA from 1 species
GAUGAACGCUGGCGGCGUGCUUAACACAUGCAAGUCGAACGAAGCACUUUAUUUGAUUUCCUUCGGGACUGAUUAUUUUGUGACUGAGUGGCGGACGGGUGAGUAACGCGUGGGUAACCUGCCUUGUACAGGGGGAUAACAGUUGGAAACGGCUGCUAAUACCGCAUAAGCGCACGGCAUCGCAUGAUGCAGUGUGAAAAACUCCGGCGGUAUAAGAUGGACCCGCGUUGGAUUAGCUAGUUGGUGAGGUAACGGCCCACCAAGGCGACGAUCCAUAGCCGACCUGAGAGGGUGACCGGCCACAUUGGGACUGAGACACGGCCCAAACUCCUACGGGAGGCAGCAGUGGGGAAUAUUGCACAAUGGGCGAAAGCCUGAUGCAGCGACGCCGCGUGAGCGAAGAAGUAUUUCGGUAUGUAAAGCUCUAUCAGCAGGGAAGAUAAUGACGGUACCUGACUAAGAAGCACCGGCUAAAUACGUG